UGCCCCAUGGCUAAGUUGGUUAAAGCGUCCGACUGUUAAAUCAACAGUUUCAUCGGAAGGUCCUGAGUUCGAGCCUCAGUGGGGCAG
rnacentral:tRNA from 1 species